rnacentral:tRNA from 1 species
CGGGGUGUAGCGCAGCCUGGUAGCGCACACGUCUGGGGGGCGUGGGGUCGCUGGUUCAAAUCCAGUCACCCCGA